rnacentral:piRNA from 1 species
UGCAAGGAGACAUGCUCUCAUGUGUGCUGC